AACGAACGCUGGCGGCAGGCUUAACACAUGCAAGUCGAGCGCCCCGCAAGGGGAGCGGCAGACGGGUGAGUAACGCGUGGGAAUCUACCCAUCUCUACGGAAUAACGCAUGGAAACGUGUGCUAAUACCGUAUACGUCCUUCGGGAGAAAGAUUUAUCGGAGGUGGAUGAGCCCGCGUUGGAUUAGCUAGUUGGUGGGGUAAAGGCCUACCAAGGCGACGAUCCAUAGCUGGUCUGAGAGGAUGAUCAGCCACACUGGGACUGGGACACGGCCCGGAGUCCUACGGGAGGCAGCAGUGGGGGAUAUUGGACAAUGGGCGCAAGCCUGAUCCAGCCAUGCCGCGUGAGUGAUGAAGGCCCUAGGGUUGUAAAGCUCUUUCACCGGUGAAGAUAAUGACGGUAACCGGAGAAGAAGCCCCGGCUAACUUCGUGCCAGCCGCCGCAGUAAAAC
rnacentral:rRNA from 1 species